rnacentral:rRNA from 1 species
GAUAAACGCUGGCGGCGUGCCUAAUACAUGCAAGUCGAGCGAAUGGAUUAAGAGCUUGCUCUUAUGAAGUUAGCGGCGGACGGGUGAGUAACACGUGGGUAACCUGCCCAUAAGACUGGGAUAACUCCGGGAAACCGGGGCUAAUACCGGGUAACAUUUUGAACCGCAUGGUUCGAAAUUGAAAGGCGGCUUCGGCUGUCACUUAUGGAUGGACCCGCGUCGCAUUAGCUAGUUGGUGAGGUAACGGCUCACCAAGGCAACGAUGCGUAGCCGGCCUGAGAGGGUGAUCGGCCACGCUGGGACUGGAAGACGGCCCAGACUCCUACGGGAGGCAGCAGUAGGGAAUCUUCCGCAAUGGACGAAAGUCUGACGGAGCCACGCCGCGUGAGUGAUGAAGGCUUUCGGGUCGUAAAACUCUGUUGUUAGGGAAGAACAAGUGCUAGUUGAAUAAGCUGGCACCUUGACGGUACCUAACCAGAAAGCCACGGCUAACUACGUGCCAGCAGCCGCGGUAA